rnacentral:rRNA from 1 species
CAAUGGCAAUUGCCUAGUACGGCGAGUGAAGCGGCAAAAGCUCAAAUUUGAAAUCCCCCGGGAAUUGUAAUUUGAAGGUGGCCUCAGUUAGUCCAAACAUUCUUAAGUCCAUUGGAAAAUGGCGCCAUGGAGGGUGAUAGCCCCGUAAAGAUGUCGUUUGUUCUAUUUUCUCUGGCCACCAAAGAGUCGAGUUGUUUGGGAAUGCAGCUCUAAGUGGGUGGUAAAUUCCAUCUAAAGCUAAAUAUUGGCGAGAGACCGAUAGCGAACAAGUACAGUGAUGGAAAGAUGAAAAGCACUUUGAAAAGAGAGUGAAAAAGUACGUGAAAUUGUUGAAAGGGAAGGGCUUGCAAGCAGACACAACCUCGUGUUGGGCCAGCAUCGGGGCGAGAGGAAGUAAAAACGAUUUGGAAAUGUAACUUUCGAGUAUUAUAGACCUUAUCCCUCCCUUCCAUCUCAUCCCGAGGCCUGCGGUUUAUCCUAGGAUGCUGGCGUAAUGGUUGCAAGUCGCCCGUCUUGAAAACACGGACCA